rnacentral:lncRNA from 1 species
UUUUAAAAAAAAGGGUUAAAAACUUUGUUUUCUCUCUAGCUUCCACUGGGCAUUGCCCAGAUUCCGGCGUGGGGAUCGCCGUCGGCCGCCGCGCUCUGGCCACAGCACGCGGUGGCCGAAAAAUUCGAAAAGGUAAAAAAACACUUUUUUUUGUAUUUUUCGUAAAUAUAAACUAUUAUAUAUAUAUGUAUAUAUAUGAUUGAAAAAAAAAUGAAAGAAAUAAAAGGAAUCUAAAAACAGGAAUAAAAAGGAAAAGAAGAACACCUUUUUUUUUAUUUUCUUUUUUGCGAUUCUUUUAUUGAUUUCCCAAUAUUUUUUUGUUUUUUUUGACAUUUGUUCUCCCCCCUUACAGUGAAGACAUUUGGCUUUUUUAUAGCCUAAGUUACAUGUUAUUUUUGCUAUUUCUCUUGCGUUUUCUGUUGUUCUUGUGUGUUUGCUCUGUUUUGCAGGUGAUUGACAGGCAAGUGGGUGAGUUGGUGGCGGUGGGUGGUGUCAGAAGGGCAGGUGGCCGUGACUUGCGGCGCUGGAGGCUGAAGACCUAGGUGCGGCGCACCUAGGGUUUUCCCUUAGCUGAAAAUUGGCCUAAUUAAAAAUUUUUUUGGGCCAUUUGGGCUUAAGGUUAAAUUUGUUUGGGUUAUGUUGUAUUGGGUUUGGAUUAUUGGGUUUGGGCCAUUGUAAGGGUUAUUUGGGCCCCGGGCAAAUUUAGGCUUGUACAAUCACAAAUUAACUCGAUACCGACUCAAGAUUGAUGACAACACCAUGAUAAACAAAUUUGAUUUUUUUUCCAUUUUAACAUCAUAUAUUAUUAUUAAUUCGUUUCAAACCACGCGUUUCAUUAUCUAUUUUGUGUUAUUUUUAAACACAUAUUUAUAUUUUAAAUUUGUUCUUUCCACAUGCAUACGUGUGGGAUAAAAUUUUUAAUUUACUGAUUGAUUUCCUAUUAAUUUAUAUACUAAAUCAUGGGCUAUUUUAUUAAAAUAAUCCAAAAAAAUUAAAUAUUUACAAGAAUGACCCGAGUUCAAAAACAUUAACAAAAAUGACCUGGAGGGAAUAAUGCACAGUGGUGUCGGCAACCCAUGUGUAUUUUUUUCACCUGUAUUUUGUAAAAUAAAUCUUGUACCUAAUUUUUUUAUAAAAAAAUUUGGGUGCCGGGUAACAGGUGGCCGACACCCAUUUUUAGUAAAAAAAAUUUUGAUCCCGUGAACUCAUUGGCCGACAAUGGUACAUAUGGGUAUCCCAUGAUUAAAAAACAAAAAGAAAAAAUAUGUAAACUCAUCUUCUGCAGCUG